rnacentral:tRNA from 1 species
GAGGGAGGCGCGAAGCGGCAAAGAUUGCUAAUCUUUAGUUGCCCGAGUUAAACUCUCGGGCUCUCUCG